rnacentral:rRNA from 1 species
GGAUUAGAUACCCUGGUAGUCCACGCCGUAAACGAUGAAGACUAGCUGUCCGGGCACAUGGUGCUUGGGUGGCGCAGCUAACGCAUUAAGUCUUCCGCCUGGGAAGUACGGCCGCAAGGUUAAAACUCAAAGAAAUUGACGGGGGCCUGCACAAGCGGUGGAGCAUGUGGUUUAAUUCGAAGCAACGCGCAGAACCUUACCAGCGUUUGACAUGGUAGGACGACUGGCAGAGAUGCCUUUCUUCCCUUCGGGGACCUACACACAGGUGCUGCAUGGCUGUCGUCAGCUCGUGCCG